GGGUACAGCUUAGCGGUAGAGCGCGUGCUUAGCAUGCACAAGGUCCUGGGUUCAAUCCCCAGUGCCUCCA
rnacentral:tRNA from 1 species